CCUCAUCUGUAGUGCUGGAUGUGCAUCUUUACACUGCAUAAGACUGAGGACACCUUCAGUGAGGUAACACAGGGAAACGAAGAAAUGCAGCAUAAAGGAGCCACAGGUUUCUCUACCAUACAUCCAAGUAAAUCCCAGCUUGCUCUUGCUUCAGUUCCCAGAGAAAAGGCUCUCGACGAGCCCUAAGUAAACAACAGCUUCGGUUCAAAAUCCAGCAGUGAGGAUUGGCGGCAGCUCCCAAGCGCUGGAAUUUCAAAACGCUCGGCUGGCUCCGGCGGAACCAAAUGAAAGAAAAUCCAAGCCUGCGACUCAGCCCCA